UGGGGAAUCUUAGACAAUGGGCGCAAGCCUGAUCUAGCCAUGCCGCGUGAGCGAUGUAGGCCUUAGGGUUGUAAAGCUCUUUCAGGGGGGAAGAUAAUGACUGUACCCCCAGAAGAAGCCCCGGCUAACUCCGUGCCAGCAGCCGCGGUAAUACGGAGGGGGCUAGCGUUGUUCGGAAUUACUGGGCAUAAAGCGCACGUAGGCGGACUGGAAAGUCAGAGGUGAAAUCCCAGGGCUCAACCUUGGAACUGCCUUUGAAACUCCCGGUCUUGAGGUCGAGAGAGGUGAGUGGAAUUCCGAGUGUAGAGGUGAAAUUCGUAGAUAUUCGGAGGAACACCAGUGGCGAAGGCGGCUCACUGGCUCGAUACUGACGCUGAGGUGCGAAAGCGUGGGGAGCAAACA
rnacentral:rRNA from 1 species